rnacentral:misc_RNA from 1 species
GAUGAAGAACGCAGCGAAAUGCGAUACGUAAUGUGAAUUGCAGAAUUCAGUGAAUCAUCGAAUCUUUGAACGCACAUUGCGCCCAUUAGUAUUCUAGUGGGCAUGCCUGUUCGAGCGUCAUUUCAACCCUCAAGCUCUCUUGCUUGGUGUUGGGGCUUCUGCGGCUUCGGCCGCAGGCCCUGAAAAACAGUGGCGGGCUCGCUAUAACUCCGAGCGUAGUAAUCUCUCUCGCUUUGGAAGUGUGGCGGUUCCCGGCCGUUAAACCCCCCAAUUUCUGAAUGUUGACCUCGGAUCAGGUAGGAAUACCCGCUGAACUUAAGCAUAUCAAUAAGCGGAGGA